rnacentral:rRNA from 1 species
UAGGGAAUCUUCGGCAAUGGGGGCAACCCUGACCGAGCAACGCCGCGUGAGUGAAGAAGGUUUUCGGAUCGUAAAGCUCUGUUGUAAGUCAAGAACGAGUGUGAGAGUGGAAAGUUCACACUGUGACGGUAGCUUACCAGAAAGGGACGGCUAACUACGUGCCAGCAGCCGCGGUAAUACGUAGGUCCCGAGCGUUGUCCGGAUUUAUUGGGCGUAAAGCGAGCGCAGGCGGUUUGAUAAGUCUGAAGUUAAAGGCUGUGGCUCAACCAUAGUUCGCUUUGGAAACUGUCAAACUUGAGUGCAGAAGGGGAGAGUGGAAUUCCAUGUGUAGCGGUGAAAUGCGUAGAUAUAUGGAGGAACACCGGUGGCGAAAGCGGCUCUCUGGUCUGUAACUGACGCUGAGGCUCGAAAGCGUGGGGAGCGAACAGGAUUAGAUACCCUGGUAGUCCACGCCGUAAACGAUGAGUGCUAGGUGUUAGACCCUUUCCGGGGUUUAGUGCCGCAGCUAACGCAUUAAAACACUCCGCCUGGGAAGUACGACCGCNNNU